CGAGACAGGACGACCAAUGACAAAGUUAAUAUUAAAUCAAAGUACAAGGGCAAAUUAUAACUAGUAUAUUUAUUGAUAACCCGUGUACUCUUGCUCAAAACAAGGCUUUAUUGUUUUUUUACUCUAGAAGCAUCUAUAUCUUUCUCCACUCUUCCAAUGAAAAUAAAUAAAUAUCUCAUUUGCAUUAAUCUUCAUUAGUUUUCUUGGAUUUUCAAGACUAAUGGGUUGAGACUUUGAGUUUCCUUAGAUUUUCAAGACUAUUGGGUUGAGAUUGUUUCCAAGUUUCAUUCAUCUUUCUCAUUAAAUGGAUAUAUUUCUUCAUAUCUACAUAGAAGACCAGAAAUUUUAUGUUUUUGCGCAAUAGACGGGAAGAUGAUGAUGAAAUAUAAGGGUGGAUUUUGAGCAUAGGAAAGUAAAGAAUUGAGACAGAUGAAUUCUCAAAAUCCAAGAGCUUCUUGAUAAAUGUUUUAUCGUCCAAGUGUUUCCACGUGGGUGCUUCUGUUUUGUUUGUUAAGAAAAAGGAUGGUGGUGCGAGGAUUGAUGAUUUUAUCAUGAGUGAAUUGAUACCAGAAUGACAAGCUUAUGGAUAAAGAAAGUCCCAAAAGUAUACUUGGGUGAAGAUGGCUUGCAUCGUCUUGUGAUGGAGACGCAGGAAAACAUGAUUAGAAUCAUCCAAUGCCUCUUUGAUCCAAUUGAGCAUUUGUAGCCAGUAGUGAGCCUCCUUGCUUUCUCGAGAACUUGAUAAUAAUCUUGACGCAAUGGUGGUCUUUCAACAACUCAAAUGAUUGGUUGAUCUCAGUCAACGGAAUUUGGUGAGUUAUAAGCUCAUUUAGUUGAAUCUCCUGCAAAAAUGUAAUAAAAAAAUAUUAGUCUACAGAGAACUUUUUUCUAUUUUAUGGACUUAUGAAUUAAUUAUAUAUCUGUACAUGAAUGUAUUGUCAUCUAAAGAAGCUUAAUUUAUAUGUAAUACAAUAUUAAAAUAUUUGGGUCUUAAA